AAUUCAGUUUAGGGUUUAAAACACUAAUGCUGACUAAAGGGAAAAAGUUCAGUUUAGGGUUUUAAAACCCUAAUACUGACUAAAGGAAAGAGUUCAGUUUAGGGUUUAAAACCCUAAUGCUGACUAAAGGGAAAAAGUUCAGUUUAGGGUUUUAAAACCCUAAUACUGACUAAAGGGAAAAAGUUCAGUUUAGGGUUUUAAAACCCUAAUGCUGACUAAAGGAAAGAGUUCAGUUUAGGGUUUAAAACACUAAUGCUGACUAAAUGGAAAAAGUUCAGUUUAGGGUUUUAAAACCCUAAUGCUGACUAAAGGAAAGAGUUCAGUUUAGGGUUUAAACCCUAAUGCUGACUGAAUGGAAAAAAGUUCAGUUUAGGGUUUAAAACCCUAAUGCUGACUGAAUGGAAAGAGUUCAGUUUAGGGUUUAAAACCCUAAUGCUGACUAAAUGGAAAAAGUUCAGUUUAGGGUUUAAAACCCUAAUGCUGACUAAAGGAAAAGUUCAGUUUAGGGUUUAAAUUCCUAAUACUGACUGGCUGGAAAGAGUUCAGU
rnacentral:lncRNA from 1 species